UACGUAGGGGGCUAGCGUUGUCCGGAAUCAUUGGGCGUAAAGCGCGCGUAGGCGGCCCGGUAAGUCCGCUGUGAAAGUCAAAGGCUCAACCUUUGAAUGUCAGCGGAUACUGCCGGGCUAGAGUCCGGAAGAGGCGAGUGGAACUCCUGGUGUAGCGGUGGAAUGCGCAGAUAUCAGGAAGAACACCAAUGGCGAAGGCAGCUCUCUGGGACGGUACUGACGCUGAGACGCGAAAGCGUGGGGAGCGAACAGG
rnacentral:rRNA from 1 species